rnacentral:antisense_RNA from 1 species
AGUUAUGGCGGCCGUGCGUGGGAGACCUUCGGGUCUGCCGGGUUCCUUUGUCCCCGGUUCGCCAACCUGCGCACGGCUGCCACCUAU